GAAAUGCGAUAAGUAGUGUGAAUUGUAGAAUUUAGUGAAUCAUCGAAUCUUUGAACGCACAUUGCGCCCCUUGGUAUUCUAUGGGGCAUGCCUGUUCGAGCGUUAUUGACACCCUUAAGCUCUGCUUGGUGUUGGGGCGUUGUCGCUUUCCUGCCUCUCUGGUGACUAUAGCGACACCCCUCAAAGUUAUUGGUGGCCUUUCUGCCCGGCUCCCUGCGUAGUAGUUUCGCGCUUCGGGAGGCCCCUGGGCUGGCUGGCAUCCAUCAAGCUAAUCCUUUUAUGCUUGACCUCGGAUCAGGUAGGGACACCCGCUGAACUUAA
rnacentral:misc_RNA from 1 species